rnacentral:lncRNA from 1 species
CAAUCCAGGGAGCCCUGGUUCACCCUUUUCUCCCUUGGGCCCACUGCCACCUGGAGGGCCUGGGCUGCCAGCAGGGCCCUGUUUCCCCUCCACACCUGGCUUUCCUGGGAACCCAUCUAAACCUCGUUCUCCCUUGUCUCCUCGUGUUCCCUUUUCUCCUCUUUCUCCUUGUAGACCCGGUGCUCCUACGUAGCCUUUAAUACCUGGAGGACCCUGUUU